CUACAAAACUGGAAAAAAAAAUCACUCAUUACAAAUCAUUAUCAUUUCACUAAGUAUAAAAUAUUGAAAAUACGUUGGAUGUUUGUGUUAUUAUUCAAAUAACAUUCAACACUACUUAGUCCUGCCAUAAGCUCUGUUACAAGUUCAGAGCGUUAUAAAAAUAAAACUAUAAUACAUUGUUUAAUAAAGUUAAUAUUAUUUAAUAAUGUAUAUAAUAGAUAAACGAUGUGCAAAAUUUUUUUCGAAAUCGUCUCCUUUUGAUUUAACAGAAUCCUCAAAUGAUUCGGCUAUUGAUCAAUAGUGGCAGGCAUAGUUACGCUAUUAAACCAGGAAUAUUGCUUUUAAGCAACUGCUGGGUGGUUUUUGCCUUCUGUGCUGAAGCAGAAUAUUACUGGACGAUCCAAUGCUCUCCAUCGAAAGGAGUAUUGAUUACCACGCCUUCUAAAAUAUCCUACACAGCUACACUUUUGCCCCAGUUUUAACCGCUUUUUCACAGAAAUGAAGAGGUGUAACGACAAACCAUUUCAUCAGCUAGAUGGUGCUCAUGUUGAACCAUUGGAAUAACAUUUUUUGCGCCUUUGGAAAUGUUAGCGUAGAUUUUGUGGUUUUGCUUAUUAAAAACUUCUGCAACAAUGAAAAUUUUUCCUCUCUAAAAAGGAUACUUUCAUAGCUGUUGACCGCGUGCUCGCAUCUGUUGAGCCUUCUUUGCUUCAACCGCGUUGUCACAAGAUGACGUGUUGAUCGACGGUAGGCUUUAAUAUGAAAAUCACCUUGAACAAGUCUGGACAUUGAUCUGGUCGAUUCUGUUUUCUACGGAGAUUUCUCCGAAUGCGUUCGUGGACAAUUUUUAUGGCUGAAUCAGUUCGAACAGAGCAAGAACGACCACUUCUUCACAUCAACUAAUUUAAAAAAAAAAAAGAUCAAUAGUGCAGUGAACAAACAAGCAUUCUCGAAAUAUUAACCGCAAUACGAUUUUCUUUCGUUCCACAUUCCAUUGUUAAUAAGCGAAAGCAAACACUGAACUGACUUUCAUAUAUGAGUGGACACUGCAUACAAAUUAUAAUAAAAAAUAAUAUCACUUUUUUCUGCAAAGAAGCAUAAUAUAAGUUUCUUUAUCUAUUUCCACUAUUUGUGAACUAUUAAUAUGUAAGUUAUUUUAAUAGUGCUGUUUUACAUAUUACUAUUUUGAUUAAGUUCUAUUGCUAUUCAAGUUUACAUCGCUCUAAAUCAGUGGUCCGCAUUUCUUUGCACAAUUGUGCAAGCAAACUUCACACGCUUACGCUCUAUCGUUCAGUCGUUGUCGAGACAUCGAUAAAACAACAUCGAGUAUGGUCCUGCUGUUAAGAUAAAUGUGCACUGCACGAAAUUUUUUGUCAUUAUUUAUGCUUUAUGGUUCUAAUAUAUUUAUUUUAAUCGUUGAAUACAUAAAAUAAAUCAGAAAGCAUGAAGAUACUUGUUUAAACAAA